rnacentral:rRNA from 1 species
GAGUUUGAUCAUGGCUCAGGACGAACGCUGGCGGCGUGCCUCAUACAUGCAAGUCGAGCGAGGGUAGCAAUACCCUAGCGGCGGACGGGUGAGUAAAAAAAAGGCAACCUGCCUCAAAGACAGGGAUAACACUCCGAAAGGAGUGCUAAUACCUGGUAAGCUCACAAGGCCACAUAAUCUGGUGAGAAAAGGAGCAAUCCGCUUUGAGAUGGGCCCGCGUCCCAUUAGCUAGUUGGUAGGGUAACGGCCUACCAAGGCGACGAUGGGUAGCCGACCUGAGAGGGUGAUCGGCCACACUGGAGCUGAGAGACGGUCCAGACUCCUACGGGAGGCAGCAGUAGGGAAUCUUCCGCAAUGGGCGAAAGCCUGACGGAGCAACGCCGCGUGAGUGAUGAAGGCCGUCGGGUCGUAAAGCUCUGUCUUCAGUGACGAAUGAGACGGUAACUGAGGAGGAAGCCACGGCAAACUACGUGCCAGCAGCCGCGUAAAAGGGCG